rnacentral:rRNA from 1 species
AUACGUAGGUGGCAAGCGUUAUCCGGAAUUAUUGGGCGUAAAGAGGGAGCAGGCGGCAGCAAGGGUCUGUGGUGAAAGCCUGAAGCUUAACUUCAGUAAGCCAUAGAAACCAGGCAGCUAGAGUGCAGGAGAGGAUCGUGGAAUUCCAUGUGUAGCGGUGAAAUGCGUAGAUAUAUGGAGGCACACCAGUGGCGAAGGCGACGAUCUGGCCUGCAACUGACGCUCAGUCCCUAAAGCGUGGGGGGCAAAUAGGAUUAGAUACCCUAGUAGUCCACGCCGUAAACGAUGAGUACUAAGUGUUGGAUGUCAAAGUUCAGUGCUGCAGUUAACGCAAUAAGUACUCCGCCUGAGUAGUACGUUCGCAAGAAUGAAACUCAAAGUAAUUGACGGGG